GUGGGGAAUAUUGGACAAUGGGGGGAACCCUGAUCCAGCCAUGCCGCGUGUGUGAAGAAGGCCUUUUGGUUGUAAAGCACUUUAAGCGAGGAGGAGGCUACCGAGAUUAAUACUCUUGGAUAGUGGACGUUACUCGCAGAAUAAGCACCGGCUAACUCUGUGCCAGCAGCCGCGGUAAUACAGAGGGUGCAAGCGUUAAUCGGAAUUACUGGGCGUAAAGCGCGCGUAGGUGGCCAAUUAAGUCAAAUGUGAAAUCCCCGAGCUUAACUUGGGAAUUGCAUUCGAUACUGGUUGGCUAGAGUAUGGGAGAGGAUGGUAGAAUUCCAGGUGUAGCGGUGAAAUGCGUAGAGAUCUGGAGGAAUACCGAUGGCGAAGGCAGCCAUCUGGCCUAAUACUGACACUGAGGUGCGAAAGCAUGGGGAGCAAACAGGAUUAGAAACCCGUGUAGUCC
rnacentral:rRNA from 1 species